rnacentral:lncRNA from 1 species
GGUUCUUGAUCUCCCUUCUGUUUGGAAAGGCUGUGCCCACUCCAGGAAAAGGCUGUUUUACCCGUGUCCAUCCUCCCAGCAGUCCUGGCCACAGACCAGGCUCCACAGAGCGCAGGCCGUCAUUUCACACCCUGUCAUUUCUUGCAGGAUCCCUGUCCAAGGCCCUAGUGCCCUAGACCACCUGCUCAUGUUCAGUGACUUCCUGAACUAGCCCUUGCGCCUCACGCCUCUCGGAGCGCUCUUCAUGGACUGUGAGCCCUGGAGGGCUUCCUCUUACCUUGCAGUCCAUAGCCUGGUCCAGAGCAGUGCCUGGUGGCACCUCAGAGCGGACAGCCUUAGCAGGAGCCAUUCACCACACCCUGCCCAGGCCUCUUCCUGUCCCGGUGGGGACCACACUUUCCUCGUGGCCCACAGUGACUCACUGCACUUGGACCCUGGCCUCACGUCAGAAUGUGACAACAGUCCUUCCUUUGCAUUUCUUGAUGAGGAGUACUGUGCAAAACGUGGGCAGAUCUCCAUUUCCCACAGACCAGCUGUCGACCAGAAAGCAGCCUGGGUGCUGCUGCAUCUGUGUUCUUCUGACUGCUCGUGCUCAGCCCCGAGCCCAGAGCCGUCUCUGACCAUGCACUUGCAUUGGCUUCUCUCCCUUAGUGCUGGGCUUGGAAACUGAUCCUAAUCCCAAAUUCCCUGCAGACCCCUGCUUCUGCAGUCCCCACCUUCCCUCUUCUCCUCCCCCCCCCACCCCGCCCCACUGGGGAGGUAUUGUGGUGGUUCUCGCUCUCGCGUCCUCCAGAGCAGCACAGGCCCGGCAACACCUUCUUGCUGCCUGGGGAGAGACAUGCAGUUCCAAACCUGUCUUUGCAAAUAAGCUCCCCUUUGCUUGAUCCUUGCUAGGAAAUCUAAACUCAGAUUAUUUUCUGAAAUGAUCUAUUUCUAUUAAUGGAUCUUCAAAACUAAGAAUUUCCAUUCAGUGCCUUCUAUAAGGAGUUCAUGCUUGAGUGGCCCAUUUUCACAUGCUGAUGUCUUUUCAAACUGAGGAAACCGUGGAUCAAAAUAUGAUCUUUGCCUUUGACAUUUUAGCCAGUGAGCUCAUCUCUUCUGUGUUCGGAGUCAGAAAGCUCGGCUGGGGCUUUCCUGAGCAGAGGAUGUAUAACCGUUUCCUGGAGAGUAAUUCACACUCAAGCCCUUUCCAAUGAACCUCUCUUCAUAUGCAUGUUUUAAAGAUUGAUCAGUUCCUACAGCAGCCUCCCACCUGAGCAGACCAGCAGAGUCCCUACUCAGGGUACAAGGCAGCCCUGUAGUGGUUCAUGGAGACCUGUUAGGCAGCAGGUCCCAUUCCCUCAAGAAGUCCUCUCUUUGCAUCAGAUGACACGUGAAGUUUUCUGGGAGUUUUCCUCUUGUCAUUUCCAUCACUGAAUUUUUUUAGUUGGCCAUUAACAGGAUACUCUUUACUAUACAAGAUGAAUCUCACCAGGUGUACCCUAGGUCUUGGACCCUCAAAGCUCUUUGACUUCCUGAGUUAACAUUGUGCUUAGUUCUUAUCUGUAGCAACGGAUGUGCAAUAGUUUAAUAAGAAAUCAAUAAUUUUGUGUCUGAUUGUGUACGGUAUGUAAAUUGAAAACAUAU